rnacentral:rRNA from 1 species
ACAAGCUGUGAAGGGCACAUGGUGGAUGCCUUGGCAUCAAGAGCCGAUGAAGGACGUUGGAGCCUGCGAUAAGCCCUGGGGAGUUGGCAACCGAGCUGUGAUCCGGGGGUGUCCGAAUGGGGGAACCCAGCACGAGUCAUGUCGUGUUACCCGCGCCUGAAUGUAUAGGGUGUGUGGAGGGAACGUGGGGAAGUGAAACAUCUCAGUACCCACAGGAAGAGAAAACAAUAGUGAUUCCGAGAGUAGUGGCGAGCGAAAUCGGAGGAGGCUAAACCUCGUGCGUGUGAUACCCGGCAGGGGUUGCGUGCGGGGGGUUGUGGGAGCAUAUGGAGGGGUCUGCCGGCUCCUUGCACAGUGAGAAAGUCGUUGUGAAGUUGAAGUCCGCUGGAAAGUGGUGCCGUAGAGGGUGAGAGCCCCGUAAGUGUAAGCGACGACCUGUGAUGUGUUUUCCCAAGUAACACGGAACUCCUGAAAUUCUGUGUGAAUCUGGCGGGACCACCCGUUAAGCCUAAAUACUCCUUGAUGACCGAUAGCGGACUAGUACCGUGAGGGAAAGGUGAAAAGUACCCCUGGCGGGGAGUGAAAUAGUACCUGAAACCGUGUGCCUACAAUCCGUCGGAGCCCGGCUGCCCUUUGUGGGUGUUGGGGUGACGGCGUGCCUUUUGAAGAAUGAGCCUGCGAGUUUGCGUUGUGUUGCGAGGUUAACCCGUGUGGGGGAGCCGUAGCGAAAGCGAGUCCUAAUAGGGCGGUUGAGUAGCACGAUCAAGACCCGAAGCGGAGUGAUCUAUCCAUGGGCAGGUUGAAGCGCGGGUAAGACCGCGUGGAGGACCGAACCCACUUAGGUUGAAAACUGAGGGGAUGACCUGUGGAUAGGGGUGAAAGGCCAAUCAAACUCCGUGAUAGCUGGUUCUCCCCGAAAUGCAUUUAGGUGCAGCGUUGUGUGUUUCUUGCCGGAGGUAGAGCACUGGAUAGCCGAUGGGCCCUACCAGGUUACUGACGUUAGCCAAACUCCGAAUGCCGGUAAGUGAGAGCGCAGCAGUGAGACUGCGGGGGAUAAGCUCCGUAGUCGAGAGGGAAACAGCCCAGACCAUCAGCUAAGGCCCCUAAGCGGUGACUAAGUGGAAAAGGAUGUGGAGUCGCAGUGACAACCAGGAGGUUGGCUUGGAAGCAGCCACCCUUGAAAGAGUGCGUAAUAGCUCACUGGUCAAGUGAUUCCGCGCCGACAAUGUAGCGGGGCUCAAGCAUACCGCCGAAGUUGUGGCAUUUAUGCAAUAUCUCGGCCUGUUUACAGGUCCAGGAGCAUGGAUGGGUAGGGGAGCGUCGUGUGGCGAGCGAAGCGGCCGGGUAACCGAGCCGUGGAUGCCACACGAGUGAGAAUGCAGGCAUGAGUAGCGAAAGACGGGUGAGAAACCCGUCCGCCGAAUAACCAAGGGUUCCAGGGUCAAGCUAAUCUGCCCUGGGUAAGUCGGGACCUAAGGCGAGGCCGACAGGCGUAGUCGAUGGACAACGGGUUGAUAUUCCCGUACCGGCAACGUAGCGCCCAUGACGAACCUGGUGAUGCUAACCAUCCGAAGCGCAGGUUGACCGAUCCCUUCGGGGUGAGGCUCUUGUGUGGAGCGUGGGACCCGAGCUGGUAGUAGUCAAGCGAUGGGGUGACGCAGGAAGGUAGCCCAACCACGCCGAUGGUUGUUGCGUGGGUAAGCAGGUAGGGGGCGGUCUAGGCAAAUCCGGACCGCUGUGUUUGAUCACGACCCUGAGAUGUGAUGCCGAGCCCGUAUGGGCGAAGUGGGUGAUCCUAUGCUGUCGAGAAAAACCUCUAGCGAGCUAUGCGCCGCCCGUACCCCAAACCGACUCAGGUGGUCAGGUAGAGAAUACCAAGGCGAUCGAGCGAACCAUGGUUAAGGAACUCGGCAAAAUGCCCCCGUAACUUCGGGAGAAGGGGGGCCGGAUCCGUGACCACCCUUGCGGUGGAAAGCGGUGAUGGCCGCAGAGACCAGGCCCAAGCGACUGUUUACUAAAAACACAGGUCCGUGCGAAGUUGUAAGACGAUGUAUACGGACUGACUCCUGCCCGGUGCUGGAAGGUUAAGGGGAACUGUUAGCGCAAGCGAAGCGGUGAACUUAAGCCCCAGUAAACGGCGGUGGUAACUAUAACCAUCCUAAGGUAGCGAAAUUCCUUGUCGGGUAAGUUCCGACCUGCACGAAUGGAGUAACGACUUGGGCGCUGUCUCAACCGUGGACUCGGCGAAAUUGCACUACGAGUAAAGAUGCUCGUUACGCGCGGCAGGACGGA